CAUGCAGUCGAGCGGGGGAGGUUGCUUCGGUAACUGACCUAGCGGCGGACGGGUGAGUAAUACUUAGGAAUCUGCCUAUUAAUGGGGGACAACAUCUCGAAAGGGAUGCUAAUACCGCAUACGCCCUACGGGGGAAAGCAGGGGAUCACUUGUGACCUUGCGUUAAUAGAUGAGCCUAAGUCGGAUUAGCUAGUUGGUGGGGUAAAGGCCUACCAAGGCGACGAUCUGUAGCGGGUCUGAGAGGAUGAUCCGCCACACUGGGACUGAGACACGGCCCAGACUCCUACGGGAGGCAGCAGUGGGGAAUAUUGGACAAUGGGGGGAACCCUGAUCCAGCCAUGCCGCGUGUGUGAAGAAGGCCUUAUGGUUGUAAAGCACUUUAAGCGAGGAGGAGGCUCUUUUGGUUAAUACCCAAGAUGAGUGGACGUUACUCGCAGAAUAAGCACCGGCUAACUCUGUGCCAGCAGCCGCGGUAAUACAGAGGGUGCGAGCGUUAAUCGGAUUUACUGGGCGUAAAGCGUGCGUAGGCGGCUUUUUAAGUCGGAUGUGAAAUCCCCGAGCUUAACUUG
rnacentral:rRNA from 1 species